GUGGCAGAGCGCGGCGCGCAGACGAGGAAAGUCCGAGCUCCAUAGGGCAGGAUGCUGGAUAACGUCCAGCGAGGGCGACCUUAGGGCCAGUGCCACAGAAAUGCGUACCGCCGGAUCGCCGCAAGGCGCCGGCAAGGGUGGAACGGUGCGGUAAGAGCGCACCAGCAGGCAGGCGACUGCCUGGCUAGGUAAACCCCAUCUGGAGCAAGACCGAAUAGGGAAGGGAUGAAGCGGCCCGCCGAUCCUUCCGGGUUGCGUCGCUUGAGCCGCCGGGCAACCGUCGGCCUAGAUAAAUGAUUGCCGCCGCCAUGCUGGCGGAACAGAACUCGGCUUAUUGAUUACUCACUUUA
rnacentral:RNase_P_RNA from 1 species